AAAAAGACAAACCCUGGGUUUCCGUGUCCAACUUUAACUGUCCGUCUUAUAUAAAAUUUUUUUAUAAUUCGUAUUUUCAUUGUUGUUAGAUGAUAAAACAUGAUUAAUAUUUUAUGCGUAACUUGUCUUUUUAAUUUUUUACAUAAUUUUUUCAAAUAAGACGGACGGUCAAACGUUGUAUACGGAAAUCAGGGUUUGUCUUUUU
rfam:Oryza glumipatula chromosome 3, whole genome shotgun sequence.